GUGGGGAAUCUUGCGCAAUGGGCGAAAGCCUGACGCAGCCAUGCCGCGUGAAUGAUGAAGGUCUUAGGAUUGUAAAAUUCUUUCACCGGGGACGAUAAUGACGGUACCCGGAGAAGUAGCACCGGCUAACUCUGUGCCAGCAGCCGCGGUAAUACAGCGGGAGCGAGCGUUAAUCGGAGUUACUUGGAGUAAAGCGUGCGUAGGCGGCUUUUUAAGUAGGAUGUGAAAUCCCCGAGCUUAACUUGGGAAGUGCAUUCGUGACUGCAAGGCUAGAGUGUGUCAGAGGGAGGUGGAAUUCCGCGUGUAGCAGUGAAAUGCGUAGAGAUGCGGAGGAACACCGAUGGCGAAGGCAGCCUCCUGGGAUAACACUGACGCUCAGGCACGAAAGCGUGGGGAGCAAACAGGAUUAGAUACCCGGGUAGUCC
rnacentral:rRNA from 1 species